AACAGGAUUAGAUACCCUGGUAGUCCACGCCGUAAACGAUGUCGACUUGGAGGUUGUGCCCUUGAGGCGUGGCUUCCGGAGCUAACGCGUUAAGUCGACCGCCUGGGGAGUACGGCCGCAAGGUUAAAACUCAAAUGAAUUGACGGGGGCCCGCACAAGCGGUGGAGCAUGUGGUUUAAUUCGAUGCAACGCGAAGAACCUUACCUGGUCUUGACAUCCACGGAAGUUUUCAGAGAUGAGAAUGUGCCUUCGGGAACCGUGAGACAGGUGCUGCAUGGCUGUCGUCAGCUCGUGUUGUGAAAUGUUGGGUUAAGUCCCGCAACGAGCGCAACCCUUAUCCUUUGUUGCCAGCGGUCCGGCCGGGAACUCAAAGGAGACUGCCAGUGAUAAACUGGAGGAAGGUGGGGAUGACGUCAAGUCAGCAUGGCCCUCAUGGGCUGGGCCACACACGUGCUACAAUGGCAAUUACAAUGGGGAGCAAGGCAGUAAGGCUGAGCGAAUCCAGAAAGAUUGCCUCAGUUCGGAUUGUUCUCUGCAACUCGGGAACAUGAAGUUGGAAUCGCUAGUAAUCGCAGAUCAGCAUGCUGCGGUGAAUAUGUACCCGGGCCCUGUACACACCGCCCGUCACACCCUGGGAACAGGUUUAGCCCGAAGCAUCGGACCAAUGAUAACCCAUGACUUCUGUGUACCACUUGUGCCACAAAGUAAUUUGGUAGUCUUAUUGGCGCAUACCACGGUUAGGUCUUUUACUGGGGUGAAGUCGUAACAAGGUAACC
rnacentral:rRNA from 1 species